GGAGGCGUGUCCGAGCGGUUUAUGGAGAUGGUCUUGAAAACCAUUGGCUCGAAAGGGCUCGCAGGUUCGAAUCCUGCCGCCUCCG
rfam:Microgenomates (Daviesbacteria) bacterium GW2011_GWC2_40_12 TT77_C0009, whole genome shotgun sequence.